AUGGCUGCAAUGGCGACGACGGUGUUCCAGGCGGGGCCAAUGGAGGUGGAUGUGAAGCACGUGGACAAGAGUAUGAUCCCGAACCUGGCCAGGCCGUUGAUGGUGGUGGCGCCCAAGGAGACCGGCGCGUACCCCGUCAUCGUCUUCCUGCACGGCUGGAACAUGCUCAACAGCUGGUACGAGCAGCUCCUCACACACGUCGCCUCCCAUGGUUUCAUCGCCGUCGCACCACAGCUCUACUGGAUGGUGUCCGAGCCCGAUGCGGACGACAUAGACGCCACAAAGCGAAUCACCAACUGGCUUGCAGAUCAUGACAAGGGGCUCGCCCACGUCCUCAAGGACGUGCUCAAACUUGAGCAUGUCGAGCCUGACCUGUCCAAGCUGGCCCUAGCCGGCCAUAGCCGAGGCGGCCAGACGGCCUUCGCCGUCGCCCUGGGACUAGGGGACGCCAAGACCAAGCUGGAGCUCAAGUUCUCCGCCCUCAUCGGCGUCGACCCCGUGGCCGGGGUUUCCAGAGCCCAACAGUUGGAGCCCAAGGUGCUCACUUUUGAACCUGACUGUCUCGACGUGGGGAUGCCGGUGCUGGUCAUGGGGACUGGGCUGGGUCCCAAGCACAUCGGCGGAUUUCCAUGCGCCCCGGUGGGCGUGAACCACGCCGAAUUCUACAAGGAGUGCGCGCCGCCUCGCUACCACCUCGUGGUCAAGGACUACGGGCAUCUCGACAUGCUGGAUGACAAUGUGCCCUAUAUCAUCAACAACUGCAUGUGCAUGAGGAACCAACACGACACCAAAGAUCUUGCUAGGAGGACCAUGGGAGGAGCCAUGGUUGCCUUCCUCAGGGCUAAAUUGCGAAUCGAUGUUCGUGAUCUCAUCGCCAUAUAUCAUAAUCCUGAGAUCGCGCCAGCCGUCCUGGACCAAGUUGAUGAGUUUCUUCCUUGCUUCGUUGGACGGCCAAAUCCGUCGUCUGUGUGA
rnacentral:rRNA from 1 species